AACGUAGGAGGCAAGCGUUAUCCGGAGUUACUGGGCGUAAAGCGUGCGUAGGCGGGUUGGUAAGUGGGUGGUGAAAGCGCUCGGCUAAACCGGGCGAGUGCCAUCCAGACUGCCAGUCUAGAGGCGGAUAGAGGGGUGCGGAAUUCCGGGGUGUAGCGGUGAAAUGUGUAGAGAUCCGGAGAACACCAGUGGUGCGAAACGGCGCCCUGGGUCCGAACUGACGCUGAUGCACGAAAGCGUGGGGAGCGAACGGG
rnacentral:rRNA from 1 species